rnacentral:lncRNA from 1 species
UUCCUUUCUUCCUUUCUUCCUUUCUUCCUUUCCUGUGUUGUUCUUCCCUAAUGGGAUUGGCUUGAGUAUAAUGUUGCUGAAUGUUAUGGGAAGUGGCUCUCCAUCUUUUUCACAGCAAAGCAUUUCAAAGAGCGUGAUAUAGUAAUUAUUUGAUGUUUUGCCUAAACCUGUACAUUCUUGGAUUCACAUAUUUUCUUUUUUUCUAGAGCCUAACAGGGUCUUCCCAAAGUUGAAUUGUUAGACCUUUAUUUUGCUGCCAACUUUUAUUUCUGUCCUCCUUAUUGUACUUUUUCUAUAUAUCUAAAAACCAAAUAUCUAAUGGUUGGAUUAUGCACAGCCAAACAGGCAAAGGUUUCUCAUCCGCCCACCCUCACAAUCAUAAGUUUGAUUAGCCAAAGUGAUGAAUAAGAAAAGGUAGCGCUGAGUAUAUUGCUCAAGAUCUUUUUGGCCUAGGUUUACAUUUGUAAAAUAAAGACUGAAAUACUGAACUACACAGAAUGUUGAAGUCUAGCGCAUUUUGGGAAAUCACUUAAAAUUAUCGAAUAUGAUUCUAACAAUGUAUUUCUGUAGUAUAUGAAUUAUGUUAUUGUUUUGUUAAAAAAUAGAAUCAAGUGAGUUCUUGGCUGUGCUGCUGAAUUUAUUGGUCAGCAUGUCGUUUUCCAGCUGUGAUGAUCUUAUAAAAGUCUAAGGUUGUACAGGUCUGUGUUUUGAUGGCAUUGAUGAAGCAUUUUAUUAUUAAUCAAAGACAAAAACGUUUCCGGUCCAGGAGUUACAAAGAAGGAUAUGAACUUGCUAUAUGGAGUUGAAUAUCUCUUCCCUUGUUCCCCAAGUAAAUUGCAAAUUAACACUAAUAAAUCAUAUUGCAGCAGUUGGUAAGAAGUGAAAGUACUUUAAUAAUUAAACAGUUCUUUUCAGUUCCCCUUUUUUCAUGUGAUGAUUUUCUAGACACAAAAUCAGCAUGUCUCAUGCAGGCUACAUAUAAUAUAUAGUUGUUUCAAAUGAGCUUUACUUACUGAGCUUUUUCUAGUAAUGGAACUCUGUCAGCAAAAAGCAUAUGCACCAGCAAAUGAUGAAUGAUGGACUUGUGUCAAAUGGAAGCUUGAAAGGUGCUUCUGUCGUUAGAUGGAUUAGUCUGAACCAGGAGUUCAGAACUCCUCGACUGUAAUUGUUUCAGAGAGAAGGUAUCCCUGGAUUGAUACCGGAGGGUAAGCAUGGAGUCAGCGGAAGAACUGCUUUAUUAGAUGAAAGUGGGGGUUUACUAAUCCACAAGGAGUAGUUUUAUUAUUGUGAGAUGGCUUGCUUGAUGCUUUUGUGAUUUUUUUUUUCUACGUGAAAUUUGUAAGGCUUUGACGUUCUGCUAUCUUGGAACAUUUCUUACAAAAAUAUCAAACUUAAUUCCAAUUAUGUCUAUUUGCACCAGUAAUUUUAAAGUAAUCUGCUAUAUUUUUCAUACGCUUUCUAAAAAUGUUGGUCUUUCAGUAGUUUCUGUGCUAGCUAGGAAACCUCUUUAAUCUGCACUAGGUGUUCUGUCAAUUACAGAUUGAUUAAGAUAAUGAGGGAUAAGUAUUUCAGAGCAAGACAUUCUUGUGCACACUGUCUGAAAAUUGUAAGGUUGUAUAAAUAGUAUUCUAAUACUGUAUUUCUCUAUUAAAUGCUUUGUGCUUUCAUGUUGCUGUUGUGUAUGUCUUAUUGGGAAGAAAAAAUUACAGGAGAAGCAAUUUACAUUAGGAAUUCAGCUUUUGAAAUAAUUUUCCAGUUUUGUUUAUAUAUUGUCUUGGUUGUUCUUGAAAUGGGUGUGCCAAAAGAGAAUUCAACAAAAGAAUAACUAUAAGCAGAGAGGCUUUCACUGUUCCUCAGUCUUUCCAUUGUGCCAGUUUUUCCUUCUCUUUUGCUUCUUUGCAAUUGUUAGCCUUCAUGUGAACUGAAGGGUACUUCAAAACACUGGAAGAAAAUAGUCUGAAAGCUUCAUGCGCGUUUGCUUCAUAGUAAAGAGGAAUGAAGAAGUUGAAGACUUUUUCCACUGACAGGUGUUUGCGUGUCAGAGCACUGAAUGCUUUUGAUGGCAAACCCAUUUCUCUUCAUUGUACCCUUCUUUCUAAAUAUAAUAGGAAAAAAAGGGAAAUUCUGACAACAAAAACAAAAACUCUCAAAACUGUAUAAUGGAAAGCUUGCUUUAUUUAUUUAUUUUUUAAGAAGAAAUUUAAAUGAUUUCAAUGGCUAUUCACUUCCUUUCCAUACGAGGAAAAAAGACUGCGGCUGAGGAAUGCCUGGGAAAGGUGAAAGCAUUUGAGUUGUAUACCUCAUUAUGUUACAAAAAUAUUGUCAUCUGAUGAUUGGUUGAUGCAAAAUUACAUGGUGUUACAAAUUGCAGAUCCUCUUUCUUUUAAAAAGUAUCAACGUUUGGAGCCCUAUUUUAGCACACAAAUAUAUUCUAAAUUGCUAUUUGAUUUUUAAAAUUCUUUUAACUUUUAAAUCUUCUUUUGCGAGUGUAUUAAUAUGGAGUAUAUCUGUCUUCUGUCUUUGCUUAGUUUGUAAUCUGACUAGACACAGUAAGUAAUGAUUUUGCAGGUGUUAAAUGUUCUGGUCUUUGGUUGCUUUCAUAUGUUAAGCCAUGCAAUACUAUCACAUCAUAUGGAAUUAGAGAUACAUCAAAAUUAGUCAAAUAGAGUAAGUAGAAGAGGUUAAAUACAAGGGAUGAGGAACGUAUAGCUUAGGAAGUAUGUCUUUUAUUUCAAACAUUUAAAACAAGCAAACAAAAAAAAUCAACAAAAACCUCUACCUCCUAUUUAAGGUGAUAGCAGAGAAAUGCUAAAAACAAAAUGAAAAAUGAAAAACCAAAGCAAGGAGCUAAACCCAGUCAAAAAACCAAAGCAAACCUAUUGCCUGGAUUACUCUGGUUGUACAUAAAUUUGUUUUUUGUUUCUUUUCUUUGAACAGUGAGAGUGAUUUCACGAUGGUAAAAGGGGUAAUAAAACAAAGUCCAAACUCAUGUAGACAAAUAUUUGACGUAAGUGCUCAUAUGUUCAUCCUGUUAGGAUGCAGACAGUGUGUGGAAGACUAAGCCAGUGGCAUAAAAGAACCUUCUUCAGGAGUAAACAGCAACAGGCAGGAAAAGUAAAUGUAUAAUUGUAGAUUAUUGGGUUGCUGUUCUUGUGGGUGGAAAGUGAGCAGAAAGUAGGCUUAAUCCAAGGCACUUGUCCUGUGUUAUCUCAAAGCAAUUUCAAUAUAAACAGUUUUUAACAAUUUAGCUUUCGUGGAUGACUGACUGAAAAAUGUUGUCAUACUGUUUUUGAUAGACAAAUGAAGUGUUAUUCCACAGUUUCUGGAACUUCUUUGCUUUUCUGUACAAGAUGGCUACAAGGAUAUUUUGUAAUACUUUUCCUUAACAGCUUGGUAAAAUCUUUCUACAGGCCAAAUUUUUUAUAUUCAUCUUUUUAAUUGUAUUACUUAAUGUGCAGCAGUUCUCUAAUACCUCUUUUGAAAUGGGUAGCCACGGAGUUUGGGCUUCUGCCUCACUGCUGUGGACUUGGAAAGUGACGAGCCUUCAGGUGGUCUCAGCAUGCAGCAUAGUGGCUGGGAGGCCCUGUGGGCACGGGAGCUCCUGGGCUCUGGGCAGGACAGUGAGCUGCCCCGUCCCUCACUGCAGUGCUGCAUGCCCACUUGCUUUUCCUGCUGUCUGGGGGCCUGAGUGUAGGCUGGAGGCUGAGGUGUGUGCUGCAGGGAGCACACAACCUCAAGAGUUGGGAAGAAUGGCCUGAGAAGACUAAUUAGAUGACAAGAUACUCAAACGGUGGGUGUGUUGUGUGGUGAGAAGAGCACCACACUGUGGUGUGGGAGCAGUGCUGUGGGACCUGUUGUAGUAAGGAAGGUGAGUUUGGGAUCUCGGUGGAAGGUGCUACACUGACAGAAACAAGAUUGUCCUCUUUAUGGCAUUGCAUGAUUGCUUAGAACUGUAACUUUUUAAAAGUAUGUGAUUUUGAGGUGGUGCAUAAAUGUAAAUUUUGGUCUGCCUCCAGCAAGGUUACAGUGUGGUUCUGACUGCCUCCUGUGUUGCACUGUAUCUGUAAGUCCAGGAGUGCUGCUGGGAUGCUAAGGCAGCCAAACAGCAGGAGCUGUGGUGUAAAAGUGGAAGCUUUGAGGAAGGACAGUACAACAGAUGUGCAGAGAGAGUACUGCAACCCUCUGUCAGUGAAGUGGAGGAUUCCUGCCUGUGCUGUCUUUUUAGUGCCCUCUUUUUAAAGGACAAGUGACCUGAAGUCAUGCUCCCUGUGUCUCCUGUGAAACUGUACGUUGUGCUAUUUCAUAUCUUUUUGGAAGUAGACUCUUUUCAGCUUUCCCCCUCAGCUUCCUCUUUAUUUUAAAGCUAUAAAACAGUGUUAUGCCUGAGCAGAGCUAGUCACAGAUGCUCUGCCAGCAUGUGACUGGUGUGCCUGAGCUUUGUCAUUCCUGCUAACUGACCCUUUUACUAAAAGUUUAAUAGGGGAUAAAUUCACAUGUGAAUUCAUAAUCCUCUCAGUUGUGCCAGAAGGAUUCCUUAACAAGCAGGCAACAAAAAGAAUCUUAUAUAGCUAGAUUUUUUCAUUCCUCUUUCUCUUCAUUCUCUUUCCAAAUUUAUUGGGUAGGCAACUUCAAGGAUGUGUCUUUAACUGUCAUUGCGAUUUUUAUUUGUGCAUAACCUAAACAAAGGCAAUAUAUUCAAUGUGGGUUUCAGAGCUACUCUCUGUGUGGUUUUGAAUAUAUUUUUUGAGCUUUUGAAUGCGAUAGAUGGAAGUAUUAUUUCUUAAGAAUAUUUUUUUUUAGCAUUUUUACUUAUUCACAAUAGCUAAAAAAUAUGCUUUUAUAACAUGUAUCUCUUGAUACUUAACUGUGUACAGUGGAACUGUUUUAUUACAAGGGAGCUUUUUUAUUUCACAGUUGAGUAUCUUGUUAGAUGCUCUUACCUAGUGAGGAAUCUAAAGAGAUACUGCAAGUGUUUUAGUAGGAUAUGCUUUUAAUCAACUUUGUUACUGUUAUUUUGAGUUCACAAAAAGUAAUUUUUUUUUUGUGUUAAUGUUCUGUUGAAGUGCCUUUGAAGUGAUGAUAUCAUCACUGAUACGCUGAAAAGCAUCAGGAUUGCAAGAGUUAUUGAGGAAUGGUCACUGCAAAAUAUUAUGGAUGUCUUGAGACUUUCUGCUUUUAUAAGGCAGACAUUUUUUUUCUGUCCUCAAAAAUAAUGUUUUUUUUUUAAUUACAUGCUCUGUACAUGUACAAUGCAAGGAAAUUCCUAACCACUAGUAAAUGCAUCAUCUUUUUACAGUACUUUUUCUUAAGCAAAACAUGCUGGGGUAUGCUAGCCUGAAUCGAAAGUCCUUGAAAACUCUCAUUGCAGAGCCCCAACUUGCUGUAAUUGCACUGUAUGCGCAACCAACGUGUUGCAAAGAUACUCUUCUUCUGGUUAAAUCCUCCCUCUCCUAUCAGUAGGCAACUACUUUUGAAGAAUAAUUUUUUCCUGUCAGACCUGUCACAUUCUAGAGGUAACUUUAGAACUCAUCAUUUUCUCAGUGGAAUCGGUAAAAGGUGGUUUUGUUUUCUUAAACUUUAAUGGAAGUAGGAUGCAGCUGACUUUGGCAGGAGGAAAUUCAGUGUGAGUAUACAAUCCUAACAAGACUCUGUAUGUGUGUGUAAGAGAGAGAGACAUUGUGCACUGAAAUAUUUUAAUGUCUUGGCAGACUUCUGACAAGCAGUGGAUGCAUUAUCAUUCAGAAAAUGAGCAUCUACCCUCCUUUGCUUUCCCUGUCUGCUGUUUCUUUUCUCUCCCUCACCACAGCCCCCCCCCAAGUUACACUAUUUUAAGGACUGAGGAUAAACUAAAAUAGUUUUCUCAUUACUGGUUCUUUGGAGUUACGAUGUCCUUGAUCUGGAAAGAGCAUUUGUGUAUUUUGUGGUGACGGUUCUGAAGUCUGAAAGAAACUGUUGUUAAAUUAAUCAAAUUUGAGCAACUAACACUAGAACUUUUUAGUGGCUACCAUUAAUGUCUUUGAACGCUUGUAGGAUCACAGGGUAUGUUCUCCAGCUCCAAAGUACUUGAAUUUCAAACAGGUCACUACGCAGCCGGCUUCUGGUUGAAGGUGGUGAAAAGAAUACUGAAUUGAAAGGUAUAACAAGGCUGGUUGUUUUAUAGUUAGCUCUGCUAUUACUUCUUUGUAAUCAUUCAGUAUUUUAGACCAAAUGAGAUGUUCUCAAUUUGUGUUAGAAAAGAGAGAGAGCGAGCCCUGGGACAGCUCUGAAUUCUCUUCCAAUCUUUGCUUGAUUCUUUUUUUUUUUGCUUGUUUAGGAAAAAUCAACAUCAGAAAUACUACCAGAGAUCUACAUGUCCCAAAAUAUUGCAUUUUAGUUUACUGAGGAAUUGCUGCUUCAGAAAAGCAGCCUUAGGAAGCUUGGAAUUUGGACUUCUGAAGGUCAGAAUUAGGCAGAAAUCUUGCCUGUAUUGUCCUGGCAGUUGCUGCAAAAAUGCAUAGAUGUUCAUGUUGCUGAAUCUUCAUUUUGGUCCUGUACUCUCUAAAUUAUUGAUCUCAAAAUACUUAUUCAAUUUUAUGGUUGGUACAGAGGUAUUUCAUGUUGCUGUUUUGGCAGCAUCUUUCUUUAUAUAUAGUAUUGUAAUAGAAAGCCCACUAAGUAUAUCUUACUUUAAAGGUAUGAUUUACAUGUUAAGAUUUUAAAUAAUAUAUGUGUUUUUAGUAUACGAAGUAGGAAGGGUAGUUUGCAUGGCAAUUUAUGAAAAUGACUGUUACAAUAGCAGUUUAUACAGGCUUCUUAAAUAAUAUGUAUUUCUACUUUGUGUAAGACUUCAGUGCAGAAUGCACAGCUGGGUCUUAAGCUGCUCAACAGAGAUGAUAAAAUCUUCCCCCCAGAAAUUAAUACCACUGUAUUUUUCAUAGUAUCUCUGAAGUUCACAGUGGUUUGCGUUGAUGAGUAGAACUAUCAGUCCUACAAAUACCACUGAAACUGUAGACUUUUGAGAAGGUUAAUUAUUAAUUCAUUUUCUAAAUCAAAGACGAUUAUUAUGUUAGGAAUAUGCACUGUUAGAACAAACCACGUGUGCCUUUUCAUACUGUAAAACUGGGUGCAGUUAAUGGGUAUUUUAAGUGUUCUUGGGAUUGUUUGCCUGCUCAGAUAGGAAUGGGUCUAACGUGUUCCAAUUGCACAUACACGGCUGGAAGAGAAUACUGGAGUAUGUGAAAGAGUAUCCUUUGGAAGGAAAGGUGUGGGAUUCACCAGGAACAGGAGCUGUGGGGUCUGGUUUGUAUCUGUAAGCACUGCCUAUAUGGUUUAGGUGGUAAAAUUUCACCACAUGUUAUUUUAGCAGGCUAUCCUGCUGCCUCCUGUGAUGUGCUGGAACUGCUAUUGCUCAUUGUCCCUUGGGUACAUCAGACAUAACUGAGGCUGUAUCUGUGUUAGUGUUUCCGUUUGGAUCAGAAGUGUGAUUUUAAAGUGAAUCCCUCAGAACUCCCCGCUUACUGAACGCUGGCUUGUUCCACAAACUGAUUUAGGGACAUGCAAACAAGAUUUGGAGUAAAUUAGACUAAACCAAAAGCUGUCUUUUAGGUUUGCACCGAACAAGUUUUAACCUCGAGUGAAGGCACUGUGAUUGAGGCCUUUGAACAUCUUCAGGCCACGUGGGUAGUGAGCUUUGGGAAGAGGAUAUAGCAGGAGACACUUAAAGGAAGAAGUGUCUUGACAGAUUAUUGGAAACGUGAGGGUAAUGACGGCUUUUUGUUUUGGGCAGUGCAUCCAACUUGCAGUUCAAUAAUAACUACAACUGUACAUGUAGGUUGAUUGUUUGGUGCAUGCCUUAUUACAGUGAUGAAUGUAAUCACAGAAAAGCAUGCAAGAAAUUUCCGAUAUAUACUGUGCUUGUUGCAAUGAGAGUAUCUUGUAUUGGCAUUUUUUCAACUCUUUGCUCCUCAAGGCAAGUAAGUCAUUAAUCGUGAAUUGCAUACAGGUUACAGUUUUAGAAGUACCUUUUAUGCCAGAGGAUAUUGAGGCACUUUUAACAAGCAAUCACUUCAUCUCUAUUCAUUUCAUCCACCUCUGAAAAGUAACAAAACAAUUUCAAAUUUUAUGCAACCAGUUAGAAAAGACACCAAAUUAACUUCAGAAAAUUUCCCCAUCAGUCAUGAAAUGGCUUGCAAUUUUUACAAAGUUAAAAGAGCAUUUUUUCAAAUGUAAAUCUCUGUCAUUGCCAUCUGUGUGUUUUAGGGUGUGUUAAAACCCCUUUCUGCACCAUGUCACAGGCUUUUUAUAGGCCCCUUGUUUCUCUGGGUGUAUGGCACAUUGCCAAAGGCUAACUAUAUUGCCAAUAAAAUAGUGCUUUACAAAACUUUUGUGGAAAUUGCACUUCCUCUAUGACUUGUUUUUGUUUCUUUGGUCAUUUUUGUUUAUGCUUUCAUUGUUGUUAGUGCAUACUAUAUACUCCAUACAACAAAAAUGUAAUGUAAUACCCUAAUCCUGAUAAAUGGGGUUUGAACUUACAGUCUACCUUUUAUUUAUCAAACUACAAAGCUUCCCAAAGGAUUCUGUUUCUUGUUUCUAAUGCCAAAUUUAAUGAUUUUUUUUAACCUACAUUAAAUAGGUAUAGAUUAAUUUUUGCUUAUGUUUUUUUCUUCCAUAUAUACUCUUUGCAAUAGCAGUAUGUUAGAGGUGGCUUUGUAGUUGUGUAGUUUAAAGAGGUUUGCUUUACCAUAUCUUUGGUACUGGUCUAAAAGCACUGCCCAAGUCAUGUUAUUCUGCACUGAUAUGAUUGAUUUUGAUAUUUAAGGAAAGUCCGUGUAUUUUUUAGCAUUCUGGUUCUACCUCUGUAAAUGCAUUUGCAAGUGGAAUGAAUAGACAAUAAAGUGGCUGUGAAAUAGAGUCAAACCAUGACAAAUGCAACAAUGUAUAUUUUGCAGUCUGCAUUUAGAUGGUAUAAGUUGUUCUCCUGUGAAAACAGGCUAUAUGCUGCUAGCUAAUGGUUUGUCCUCUGACAUAGCUACUAGCAUGCUAUCUUCAGGAAAAACGUAAGCAAAUGGAAGUGAUGUGGGUAGUUAUAUUGGCCCAGCUACAUGGAAUCAGAGCAGAAGUUUUUUUCCUCUUAGAGAUGCUGCUUGUUCAAUCUGACCUGCUAAUAAUACUGUCUGCUGCUUAUUUGUCUUGACUGUAUGUUGUUUAUCUAAUUUUUCUUUGUCUCUGGUGGUGAAGCUGCAAGGAAGUUUAUGCUGAGAAGAUAUACAUAUUUUCCUGUGGCAAGUGGCUGGCUUGUUUUCUUUCUGUGUUGUAUUCUAACUUUUCUAAUACCAUUGUGGUAACCCGUAAUUGUUUGGGUGUCUGGUAUGCAUUAUUUCUAGCCAUUUUAAUGAAAUAUUACAGUUAUUAACUAUGACUACUGGUUUAUAGUGGCUGUAAUCCUUGAAUGUUUUCUGUUAUUGUAGUUUAGGACCACUUUGUUAGAGCAUUAGCCACCUUCUGGUUUGUAUCAAGGUGGCUGUCUAAUGGAUCAUUAACUGCUAGUGAGGCCUAGAUCCUUGGGGACUUGCCUGGUACAGUAGUUGUGAUGUGAGAAGUGAAGCUCAUAGAGCAAGCAGUCUCAACACAGUGAACCCUGUAGUGAUCUAAAAUGGAAUGAUUCUGUGCUCUUAUUUUUCUUCGUAGCACCUAGAAUUCUAUUCCUUUUAGAGAUACUUCUGUGAUAAGAUCAGUUCCAGGUCUUUGUUCCCAGCCCAAAUAUGAUAGAGGCAACAUAGAGACUGCUCCUAGGUUCCUAAUUUAGAAUAUCCUUGUUGGUCCAUUAGGACUUCCACUGGAACACUCAGAGAUUGGUGAGGGCUAGUGUCAGGGGUCAAAGAAAGUGUCUGCAUCUUUGGAGAUACUUAAAUAUUCUGUUCGUCUUUGAUCUUGCUUAUGGGAUUGUAUUGGACUUGAUAGUUCUGUGUGUUUUUCACUGAUGAUGAUUUUAGAUAUCUUUAUUUUAAAAUUCAGCCAAGAGGCUUCUUCUGUGGUUCUGUCCUUGCUGAAAUUCUCAUGCAAACUGAUAUAUAGUAAAUGUCACAGUUAAGGAUAAAACAGUGUUUUUUUUUUUUGUUUGUUUUUUUACUAGGAAGUGCUGCCAUGGUUUGCCAAGUAUUAAAUUAGCGCUUUUGCUUCAGUUGGGAUUUGAAUUAGCUGCCUUUUAAUUUCAAAAUGACAGUGUGUACUGAAAAGCACUGCUUUAGCCCUUCAAAAUAUGAACGUAUGGAUUGUGAAAUAAUUACAGAGUUAAAUCUUUCUUGCAGUGAUAUCAAAAUAUUAAGCUUUAAUACCCAUGCAGGCAAAGAUCUAUCAGUGUUUAGCAAAUACUCAACCUCCCAACACCUUUCUCAGAUACAGAAAUACUCCUUCAAGCAAUGUAUAUGAGAUAUAGAUCAGUCCAGGAGGCUGUAGCUGCUAUUGGAUUAAUCUGCUCAAAAUUGAGAUGGAUAUGUAUGUGCUGUUUUGAUUGACAUAAGAAAGCAUAUAAACAGUUUAUAUACUAUGACUUUAUUAUUUGACUGGUUCUCUUGCUUGGACAUGCCAAUAGCUUAUUUGUAAUUUAGAAUUGACAUAUUUAUCCUACAUAAAUUAGGCGGAUAAUGCAAAUGCCAAUAUAUCUGGGGGGUGGAGGAAGAGGGGAAAAAAAAGAAACAGGAACUAAAAUGAUGUUUGGAAAUGUCAGAUUUUUUUCAGAGGUGGAGGGCUGUGGAAAAGGGAAGUUGUAUUUAAUUAGCUGUAACUGCCUGCCCACAUUUUCCUGAGCAUAUGGGAGUAUGUUCCUGAACAAAUGACACAGUUCUCAACUGCACCCUGUUGAUGCACAGUUUUAAUUGUGUCAAGAUGUAGUUACCAGACUGACACACACAGCUAUGCUUUAAAAAUUCAGGAUUUAUAUCUCUUUCAUUAUCUGAUACUGUUGAAUUAUGAAUAUAUUCUGUUGCUGUUAGGUUUUCCUAAUCUGUAAAACUGCUUCAGUGAAAUAAAUGAUGUUAUGGUUAAUGUGUUUGGGUGAUAAUUACAAAAUUGAUAAAAUAAGCAUUUGUACUUGACUUCAAGGAGUAUAUUUGGCCCUUUUUAUGCAAGCCCUUGGCUCCAAAAAGCAAAUUAAGCUGUUGUUGUUGGCUUUUUUUCCUUUUUUUCCCCCACCCUCCAUUAGCAGUCAUUCUGUUGCACAUGGUACGUGAUAAAUCAACUGCAGGAGCUUUAGAGUUGCCAUAACAUGACAUUACCUAUCAGCUUGUCAAGUCUGUGUUGACUCUGCGCCUUUUAGGCUGUAUAUUUCUUCAAAGUAUAGCGCCAGUUACUUAGUCAGCUCUAACUAAUUUCAGAGUAGAAGGGAAACUUUACUGGAGUGCUGUUUGGGAUCUGCUUUUUAAUCCUGGUCUGUUUAAUGUUUGCCUCCUGACAUUCUAGGCCAGACAUCAUUUUAAUGGUAUGUGUGGUGAUAAAGCCAAUAAACUGUCAAGAUGAUUGAUAAUCUAAGCAUUAUAGCAAUAUGACUUUCCUGUUCUCCUCUGUGCUUUAGAUGAUGGUUUCCAAAUUGAAUUCUUACAGUGUGCUGUAUGUUUGUUGGAGAGUCUCUGAGCAAGCGGUUGGAAGGAAGUAGCCCUUGCGAACGUAGGCUUUUAGAUUUCUGUUAUUAUUGGAAGGACUUAUAAUAUGGGAAAUGUUAAGUGGGAAUUUUACCACUGAAAUAAUCUGGACCUCUAAAUUUUUGAAAUUCUGUUAUUUUUAUGGCCACCUGGGAUGAAUCUCAAAUUUUCACGUGUGCUUUAUCUGUCACGUCUUUCAACUAGAGAUAACAAUGCACAGCAUAGUGUGUGCAUGGCUUCCAGGUUCACUUACGCAAAUUCAGCAGCUAUUUUUCAUCAUCUUAAUUGAAAGUCGUUGAUCAGACUUGCUCACUUUUUAUUUGGGGAUGUUGGAGGCAAUUGAUUUUUAUUAUUUUUGCACGAUGCCUAAAAUUAAUGGUUUUCAUCUUGUAGUUUUGUGCUGGUUCCUGAACAGUGACAGGACAAGGACAAAUAAAUGAUGGAUAUUUGUAUUUUGGAACUGUUCUGCCUGUGCUUUUUUUUUUAGUAAAUAUGUUAAGUUUUCCAGUAUGUCAAUUUCAUUGUUAUGUUUUCAAUUUUUAUUUAAACCAGAAGUCAGCCUCCUGCUCUGCCUGAAGAAAUUUUACACCAGUGAACCCUCAUUAAUGCACAUUGAUUGACAAACACAGUUCUGAGCACUUUCAGGGAUCUGUAGUGUAGUGAGGACAGAGCCACAUCAUAUUUCUACUCAAACAGUGCACAAGUGUUUUUUCUGAAGUUCUAGUGCAAAGCACACCUGAAUGAUUUUUUUAAAAAACUUCUAGCAAUACUACUGUUUUUUUUGUUUGUUUGUUUGUUUGUUUGUUUUUUUUUUGCUGUAAGCAUUUCCCACUUGGAAAUUAAUUGUAAAUUGUGAUAUAUGAGUGAAUAUGAAGUUCUGAUGCCCUAGAAGAACAACCCUUUAUGCAGUAGAUUUUCACUGUAGGGCCAAUCUGGAUGAUUGGGAUUAGCCUGGCUUUGGUGAGAACAACUAAAACAAGAAGUCAGGUAUGCAUCACUGAGUCUUCCAUGGUGAAGCUCUGUUCCCCUUCUGUGCUGAAAGACACAGCCCCAGCCCAGUGUGACCCAUGGACCCAAAUGCUUUCGUUCCAGUGAAACUGCUGAAGAGCUGUUCCUCUGGGAAUUUGGCGGGAAACUGUGGGAAGGGCCUAGUAGCCUUCUAGAAACCUUUUAAGAGGCUUUGUUGCAUCUGGAAGCUGAGUGAGUUAACUAGUCCAGUGAAGAGCUUUAUUAAAUCUGCAGUGAAGGUGCAUCUCUUAGGGCAGUCACAGCUGAGAAAAUAAUUUGUGCCUGCGUAUACCACUAGGGUAAGUCCUCCUGUGCUUGAGAGCCACUCACCAAAAGAAGUCUUUUGCUUUCAGCUUUGUCUUUGUUCCUUUACCUUCUCUCUUCUUCCUACAGCACACCCAUCUUUUUUCCUCUGACAGUUCACUGGUUCAAGUUGUGCUUCUUCAUGUUGCCAGGAUGAUCUAGUGCGUUGCUGAGUUUGUAAAAUUGCACAAAAGCACUCCGUUGAAUAAAGGGGAUAGACCAGAAAUGACUUUGGGAGGUGUUCCAGAAAAUGGAUUGGUAGGGCACUUGGGGCUUAUUGCAUUCCCUUUGGAGUGAGAAACUGCAGAAUUUAACCCAAACUUAAGAAAAGACCUGAUGUAUGGUGAAUCUUUCUGCUGGCUUUGCUUAGACUAAAGGAGAAUUCUAUCUGGGAUUUAGGGAUUUUUCUCACUGAAGUGUCUUGUUCUGCUUCUCUGCUUCUUGGAGUGCUUGCUUUUUACUCAAGGAAGAACUGUUAUGCAUCAGUAGUGCUUGCUGGUACUGAAGCCUUUUGUUUUGUAGAGAACUACCAGGCUCAAUCCUUGGUCAGAGUAAAUUAACAAUCCUAUUAAAAUUCAGGCUGAUGGAGAAUAGGCGUUGACAGAUACAGUGACCAGAGUAGAUUUGACUGAAUCUCUUUGAAGUCAUGCUUUUCUGAAUUGCUGGGUUAAAUUAUGUGUUGUGUAGCUUACCUGAAAAGACAAAAAACAAUCAAGCUAAGCUGGCCUUUUCCGUCUUGUCAAACUAAAGACUUCCUAAAGUAACAUUAAUCUGGUUCUCACCUACCAGGGUGAGGCAAAAAAGGCUAAAACUUAAUUUGCUUUUGAAAAAUCAGAGCUUGUCCUUGUGCAGAAGCGACUGGGCAACAUGAAGUACUACUACACUAUGCUAUUACAAUUUCAUUUGGUCAACUUUUUGAAGGCCCUUAUGUUCAAUUUAAACAUGGUGCUAUAUGAAAGAAAUAACUGUAUUAGAGUCAAAUUCUUCACACUUGCUUGUAUGAUUUCCUGUGGCCUCUUCUUCUUCUUUUUUUUUUUUCGUAACAAUUGUUAUUUAAGUAAAAAUUAAUAAUGUCUUUUAUACUGAGGCAAGAUGGAUGUUUCUUUACCUGGACAUACUUGGGUGCUUUUGAAUGGGUUUCUCUCCUUCUCAGGUAUUCUGGGGUGGCUUGGAUUAUUAUAUAUUUUUUUCCUCGAGAUUAUCUUUCCCCAAGAAGAGUGAUGGGGGUCAACCUUAUAGUGGAGUUCUUAAUAGAUUAAAAAAAAAAAAAAGAAUUAAUAAUGUGAGCAAAUAUACAAAAUGUAAGCAAAAAAAAUAAUUAUACAUAUGGCGAAAGAUACACCUAGUGGAGAAUGGUACAAUUCCUCUUUCCUGCAUCACCUGAGAUGAUAUACUUGGCUUUGUGGUUUCUACACAGCUUUUGGCUUAUUUAUAGCUGACUUUUUAUGUUCUUGGUGUUUUAUGUAUUGAUGGGAAAGAAAAAUCUGUAGUAGCAUUAUUUGCUGUUGUUCAUCUGUUGUUUCUCUGUUGUAAGUAUAUAGAUGUGUUUACUUUUAAGUUAUGCUUAUAUAUAUGUAGUGUGGAGAAGGAUUGGUGGAUAAAAAGCUGGAGGAGCCAGCAGUAUGCUAUUGCUGUCUGAAAGGUCAACUGCAUCCUGGGCUGAAUCAAAAGAGGGAUGGCCAGCAGGACAAGGGAUGUGAUGGUGUGUCCUUCCCCCCCCGCCUCUGCUCUGCCCUUGUGAGGCCCCUUCUGCAGUACUGCAUCCAGGCCUGAGGACUCCAGCAAGGGAGGGGUGUGAAGCUGUUGGAAUGGGUCCAGAGGAGGUCCCCAAAGAUGCUUGGAGGGCUGGAGCACCUCUCCUACAAAGAAGGGCUGAGGAAGCUGGGUUUGUUCCAUAUGGAGAAGUGUCCACGGAGGAUCUCAUUGCAGCCUUCCAGUACUUGAACAGAGCUUGCAGAAAGAAAGGGAGUGACUUUUCAUGUGGUCUAAUAGUGAUAGGACAAGGGGGAGUACCAUUAAAGUAAAAGAGAGGAAAUUUAGGUUAGAUGUUAGGCAGAAAUUCUUUACUCAGAGAGAUGUGAGGCUACUGGCACAGGGAGGUUGUGAAUGCCUCGUCCCUGGCAGUGUUCAAGGCUGGUUUGGAUGGGACCCUGGGCAGCCUGAUCUGAUGGGUGGCCAACCUGCCUGUGGCAGGAGGUUGGUGCUGGAUGGGCUUUUAUGUCCCUUUCAAUCCAAGUUAUUCUAUGAUUCCAUAUGCAUGGGUUUAAUGAUUAGGAAGAACCAUACCUUUUAUUGUUUAUUAGCUUUCAAAUAUCUAGCUCUUUGGCCAAAUAUGUCUGCUGUAAUCAGAUGGUUUCUCGAGUCAAUUAAUGGGAUUAAUUUUGCACUGUAGCUGAUUUUGCAUUUUCUAUAUUAUGUAAAAAAUAAGGCAUGCCUUGAGAUCUUGUGGUGUAACUAGACAUCAUGUCAUGUCAUGGUUUUAUGAUUUUUGGUUAUCAGUAUUCCACAUCACAACAUCAUGCAGUGUACUGGGAGUUAAAGAGCAAAUGCUUUAGUUCUGGGUACCUGUUUGGAAGAGAAGAAGAACUACGUUCCCCAAGAGCCUUUUCGAGUACUGUUAUCAUUCCUGCUCAAGGGAACAGAUAUAAGGGCGCAGGUCAUCUGACUCUCCCCUCUUCUCAUCUCGCCGUGUUCCCUGUCGGAUUGGCUUGCUGCUGCUGCUCCCGACUGCACGCAAGGCUUCAGUAUUAGUGUAAGGCCUUUGGCUCUUGGACAAUCUUUCUCUCAAUUAUUUUUUAUUUAUAUUGUAUUAUGGUGUGUUAUCUUACAUUCCGAUACUAUAUUUAGUAAAUUAGUUUGUUUCUCCUCAGAUUGUUGCCACUGUUUUUAAUUAUUUUGGGGUCCCCUGUUUCCCUUCCCGGAGGCGCGGAUUUUGCGAAAUCCCUCUGUCCCACCAGUCACGGAACCGGGCCAGACCAGCCCGUAAACCAUUGCCAACUUUAUAUGAAAGAAAAAAAUACAACAUAUUUUAUCACCCAGCCCUAUGUCAUUUUCUUAUUUCACUUGACUACCUGUAAAGUUGGCAGUCACUUUGUAACUCUUUUCUAGCAGGUAGGCUGUUAAGUAUUCAACUUUGAAGCUAAUGAUGAUUGUGCAGAACUGAACAUUGCUUGUGUAUUCAUUGCUAAUAGCUCCCCCUCGUUGAGUCAAUUUGUACUUUUUUUCCCACCUUCAAGUGACAGGAAUAUGGUUUGGUAUAUAUUAUUUCAGCCAUUUUGCCCCAGGAGACACAUUAGUAAUUUAUAAAUUAAAUACACGUAAAAAUAAGAUAAGUCAAAUGUAGUUCUUUUGCAAUAAAGGCACUACUCAUUUCAAUACUGUGAUUUGAAAUUGAAAUCGUUUUACUUACUGAUUUAUGAACUGUUUAUUUUAGAGCUAGGGAAGUCAGUUAAAUUCAUGCUACCUGUGUAGAAGAAAAGUCCUGGCUUGAAUAUAUAAUCUAUAGAUCUAUAGAAAGAGGAGCAAGACAUAUCUUGUUCUCUGCUCCUUUGGUUACAUCUUCAAGUGAUACUGCACAGCCAGCUAAUGGAGUAUAUUCUGUGUCAAGUGUAUCUCCGUAUAACUGUGUGGAUAUGAGAGCCUGAAGAAAACUGAUGAUUUUUUUUUUAACUUGGAUUUUUCAUAGCUGUUAAUCAGAAGUAGGCAAUGGGGUUCUCAUGCAACUCAGUCUCAACCUCAAUAUUUAGAUUGCCUCAAAAAGCAACAAAGCAUUCUGUAUUUCUGAGAGUUUAAGUAUAAAACUCAGAAAAGAAGGUGGAAAGUGCUUUCCAAAUUCUUUGCUCUAGAGUUUCUCUUAGAAGGUGAGUUCUUUUGUUUUAUCAUCUUCAAAAAUAAAUUUGUGCACCAAUUUUGAGUCUUAAGGCCUGGAAGAGACAUGGUUGGGGACAGGCAGUGUCCCCAGGGGAGUAGACCAGAGAUGACAUCGUAGACAGAUCAUGCCAACCCAAACCUUGUGCUGACUUUUCUGAGUAAAUUAGUUAAUUUCUGGAUGUGACCAGUAACAGAACUGUGAAGUUGUUAGCUGAAGAAUGAAAAGACUGCUUUGUGGUUUUAUAUCUCUGCUAUAGUAUUCCUCCACACUCUUUAACAACAACUGUUUGAGUAUUGAUCUGCUAGUGCCUAAUAGCUUAGAAACACUGUGAAUGCAAUAUGAGGAUUAGAAAACUAUGCCCCUAAACCCCAAAGUAUUGAAUACAUAUGCAUUCAUCUUGGUGUGAUUUAGUUCUGAAUGAAAUUUAUGAUAUCAGACCUGUGGGUAAAAUACAGGAUGGUGACUGACUGCUUUUUAUAUGCCUAGAAAAGCAUAUGGGAUACACAAUAGUGAUUAAGUGAACUAUGUUAAAUGGCUUACAUUGCAAAAUUGUUCACCAGUUAUUAAGUUAGACUGUUUAUACAUAGAAGGAAAACUGGAUAUGGUUCAAAGUAAACAAAAAUGCUUUAUUUUGCUAAACUGAUCAAUGGAAAAGAACAAAUUAUUCGGUUUUGCUUUACAUUUGAAAGAAAAAAGUAUAACCACAAAUUGUUGGUUUUUUGUGUGUGUCAAUCAAAAUAAUUUUUCAACAGAGCACGAAAAUGGAAGACAGAAUCUGAAUGGUUCUGCUUUAGAACCACACUGAAAGUUUUUUGUUUUAUGUAAAUAGAGAUUGAUGGAACAUUUUACACAGAGUGCAGGUUUUUGACAAAAAGUAUUGAUGGUUGCUUUCAGUAAGUGUUACUGGAGAUGACAGAACAUUGCAUUUUAAGAUGAAUUACAGUAGAAACUCCCUCUUUGGGAAUGUCGUACAUUUUAUUUCAUCUGUUGUUUUGAGAAAGAGUGACUUAAGACAUAAAUAUCACAGACUGAUCUCUCUUUCCUUAACAUCUUAUAGAUCUUGUAUUAGUUCUCUGCACUUAGUAUAAGUUAUAUUAAAACAUAAUUAGAUGCAUGUUUUUUUGCUAAGAUCUGCUUAUUGUACUUCGUAGGUUUGUAAGUGUCAGCUGUUAGGUUAACUUUUAGGUUGAUGUUAAUCCCAAAGGAAUGGUCAUUUUGAUUUUUAUAGUGUCCUAUAUUUAAACUCUUGGAAAUACAGAAUGCUUAGUGUGUUGCUUUUGGAGGUAAACUAAAUAUUGAGGAUAGAACUGAAUUAUUUGAAAUAGUCAUAGCUUAAGUAAGAGAUCUAGUCUCUGUUUUGUUUAUAUUUAUUAUUUUCAUAUUCUUUGGAAUUCAUGCCUCCCACACUUUCACCAUCCAACAAAAAGACAGAAAGGAAGUUUGAGAAUACACCGAGAAGUAGAGGGAACAAGCAUUGAGGGAGUUUCAAGGAAGGGCACAGUGUGAAUAUAGACUCUUCUGCAGGUCUUAUGGCUACUAAUGUCGUUAAAGACAGUUUGAAAAGGAAGAUUAGACUUCUCCUUGGAAGAGUGGUAGUUUUAACAUGGAUCAGUUCCUGGGUGUGUUUUUGAGCCUUUUAAAGAGUGCUCUCUCUCUCUCUCUCUUUUUUUUUUUUUAAUAAUAAGAGCAAUAGUGACAUUUUAAUGAUAAAUAUAUGUUAAAGGGAAUGUAGCCAAAAUUAUAUUGUCACCCUGAAAAUGAAAGUUUCUAUGAAGAAGGCUUAUGCACUGAAAAUAAACAUGGAGAAAGUCACAAAUCAAAUAACAAAACCCAGUUUCUUUCAGUUUGCCUCUGUUUUCUUGUUAGUCUUCUUAUACCACCUCAGUGCUUGUUGAAAAUCAGGUCGGUCUUGCCUGCAUUUGUGUUAUCAAUAGGUAAGAGUUGAUUUUAUUAUUUUUUUUAAUUACUCUUAAGCUGUUGUAAAUGAUACCUUGAAAAGGAAAGUUAUUUUGGUUUAUCUUUCUUUGCACUCAAAAUAUUUCUUGUUGCUGUUUCAAUGCAAAAUCAUUAAUUUUUUUCUUUAAACGUAUUCAUUUUUCCUGGUCUUUCAAGAUUAUAUUGCCUGAAAUUAUUCUGAAACUUAGAUAUGAAUCUAUUUCAUAUAUCGAUUCUUUUCUUUCACCACUUAAUGGCUUCUUUUACCAACCAGAUGAUAGCUUGGCUUGGAUCCAUGUCCUUAGCUGGGCUGAGGAAUGUGUAAAUGAACUCUGACUCCUUGGUGUAGUGGAGGCAAAGUUCACUACCCUCAGAAAUUGCACAUGUGAUAUUUCAAAUCUGACCAAUAAAAAACAAUUGGCUAAUGAUUAGAUGCCAUUGCAUAGAUGUCUUUGCAACUAAUCAGUGAAUUGAUUAAAUACACAGAAGAUUAGUUGUGGAAUUUAUUUCUUAUGUUGAACUGAAGUUUGUCAGUGUCUCGCAGUAUUCAGUAACUUACCCUCUUGUUUGGUUUAUAGAUUCUCAGUUGAGUUCUUGAUAUUCUGUGCAGGUUGCUGAGCUGAGCUGGAGUACAUGGGGUAACUGAUCCCUGGCUGCUUUGCUCAAGGGCUGUUUUUGUUGCUGCUACUUCAGUGUCCAGCAGCUGGGCUGGAGCACACCCUUUUCCACAGGUAGUGCAGCAGCCUGCUGGCUCUGGAGCUGAGCUGUGGCUUUCUGCAGAAGGGAACGGAUUGCAGCAGGCUGCUGCUCCAUAGCAGUCUGUUGCAUAGCAGGCAGUAUUGGGAAAUAGAUCAUAAAAAGUUUUUUUAAAAAAGACUUCAAUUUAUUAAUGUCUGGGUAGUCAUUCUUGGUUGGAGAAAAUGAACUAAUAAUCAGCUGCUGUAUGGAGAGAAUUACCCUGUUUGUUUUAUUCUCUUUUACUGCUAUCAGGCUUGAGGAAAAUAUAACUUGUGGAAGAAAAAGGCUUUUUCCUACCCCGUAAAUGUCCUAAAAAUUCCAAGUGUGGUACAGUCAACUCUAGGACAAGAUUUAAACAGAUGCUGCAAGGGGACCUUAACCCAUGAAAUCAUCCUAUACUGAAGCCAAAGCCACACCUUCUAACUCCUGAAUAAAUAGAUUCUCAUGACAGAAUAAUUCAUCUCCAGUCAUGAAAGCAUCAGCUUUAAAUGACAGCUUGUAGAGACCCUGUGCUUGUUAGGGCCAGAUCAGCAGCCUAGAUGCCUUGGAUGUAAACUCAUGAAGGGAAGAUUAAUUCAUCUGUUAUCCUGCGCUUUGACAGUUGUUGUAAAUCUAUUUUAGCUCUGAGCAGAAGUAGGGGGACCUUUGAAUUUGGAAGGGUGAUACUAAGAAAACCUAACCCAGACUCUUUGAGCCCUGAAGAAAUAACAUGAGGUCUCUACUAGUCUCUAGGCAAACAAAAUAAAAAUUUGGUGGUGGAACAACAUGGGCAAGGCCCUCCUUCCCCAGAAAAGGCCUGCCUGGGCACAUCCGCAUGGUGUGCCCACUGUAAGCCCUGCUGAUGAAUGGGUGCAGAAGCAAAGCGCUUUGGUUAUUGAUCAGUGGUAGUGAACUGCUCUGUGAGCCAAGUGUGAGCGCUUUUUGAAAAUAGUGUUCUUAAAGUUUUUCCUUUUUGACAUUUUUGAACUUUAUAAAAGGUGAUUUAAAAAAAAAAACUGAAAUGUGAAACUGUCAGAUUGAUUUAUUGUGGAAUGAUGCUGUGCACAUUUCAAAUGUCUAUGCAGUACAUUUAUAAUUUCUAAAUGAAAACUCUAAUAGUUGUGACCUCAUUGGAGAUGGACUGUAGUCAUAUGGUAGGAAUAUCUGACAAUAGAAGCAACAGGUGCUUAAAGCUAGAAAAGUUUUUCUUAUUAGUGCUACUCUGCCAAUGUGUACUGUGAGAACUGUACAACUGCAUGUCUUCUCUUCCAUCCCCACACACUCCAAAUUAAACACAAAUAGUAGCCAUGGAAAGGUCAUUUUCAUUUGUAUCUCAAAUAAUUGAAAAUAAAGUCUGUACCACAGGGUGGAAAACAGCACCGUUUUUGUUAGGGGACAAGAACACCUGCUUUGUACUGUGGUGUCUCCUGUAUAUAUUCAGUGUAAAAAAGGCUUCAGUCUUUAUGGAGGUGAGUUAUUGUUGAUUUAUGCUGAAUUCAGAUGAUAUAAAAGUUCUGGGAACUAACUUGUACUAUGUUACCUUAUACGUAGCUCAGGUCUCUAAAUGCAUGUUAUUACUCUACAGGAUUAGAUUGCAGGGAAGUACAAAAUUUUUUUCAGAGGUGGGUUGGAAACUGUGCCUUUCCUUGGUGAUGAGGAGCUGACCUGCUUGAUAACUUAAUUGCUUCUCUAUUGGGCUUAAAAGUGUACCACAGUGAAAAAUCACUCCCCUUCCUGGAGAGGACAACAUACUAAUGAGCAUGUUGUUCUGCUAUGAGGUCCUCUCCUACUCCCGUAUUUUCUGGUCUGCUUCACCUGAUAGUUAGGGAAUUGACUUCUGAUCUUCUGUAGUUGGUGGUGAGUCUGGGACCUCACCCCACAGGAAGCUUUCGGUAGGUUCUGUUGUAACACCCUGCCAAUUGUAGAGGCUUAGGGCAGAGCUGCUGAAAGGGAGCAUAUCCCUGUUUUAGCAUGGCCCUUUUCUUUCGGAGGAGUGUACAGCAUCCACUGCAGUGGAGGGACACCCAAAACUGCUGGAAUUUGCUUUGAAGUGUACUGAUUUUCAGCCGUAGAAGUCAGAGUAAUUGUUGAAAAGAAUCAAGCCUAGGUGGAUUUUAUGCCAAAUUGCUUGAACUGUAGGUUCUGAGUGGCUUAACAUUAUACCAAUGGUUCCCAAAAAGUUGAUUUGAAAAAAUAUAUAUCUUUUAAGAUAUAAAUUUCAAUAAUAAUAAUGAGAUAGUAGCUUUGCUUUAAAGUACAAUGCAUGAGGUUUGUUAGGUUUUAUUACAACUGCUGAAAUAAAGAUGAGGUCAACUUAAGUUGGCUUUAUUCAAACGAAGUUAUCGCCUGAGACAGAAAUCUUGGGAGGUCAGUUUUUAUUUUGAAUACUUCAGCCUGAUUUGCUAAAGAACUGAUUUAAAUUUAGAGUUAGUGUGAACGAGACUUGCAGAAAGCAAAAUGGCACAAUUUCAAAUUCUCUUAAAAUCAUUUCUGCACUUACUCUGGGAGUGUGUAAAGUUGUCAAUGUUGCAGCAGGACAUUGUUUUGACAGUCUCUUGUACAACUCAGAACAAAAAAAAUCUGUCUGUGCUGCAAAGAGUUUGCAAUCUACGUAGUAAUUCUGUACAUCCUUGGUUACAUCCCAACCAAAUGAUGCUUUAAAAUCCUUCAUGACUAUUAUGUUAAGAUCUGAGACAUCCACAGUAAUGUAAAAAAAAAAAAAAAAAAAAAAAAGAGUUCAUUUAUAAUAGUAGCUCUGAUUAUUUGUAUUAUUCUCAUACUGGCCUCUCAGGAGAAUAAGAGAAGAUAGCUUUCCUAAAAUGAAUGUUCUUGCCUACUGCAGUCUUUCUCCUCACUCUUAUUUUGGUGUUAAACUUGGUAUGGAUGGAUUUGAGUGUUAGCAUUAGUCAGUUGCGGCAACUGGUAUUUGAGUAUAUGUUUUAUUUAGGAACGUACUGGUGAUGAACUACGUAAUAUUAAAGUAAGUAACCCACUUGUUGGCAGUCAUCUUCCCUAAAAAAUAUUCUUCAAGAUUCUGUUACACUGUGUUGUAAGCAAGGAUUUGCUGAAUUGUGCAUAGCUAUCUAUGUACUACAUUUGCCAGAAUGUCCAGGAUGAAACUUUGUAUGUGCAUAGUAAUUGGAUAAAUUGAAUGUAUGUUCUUGUGACAGCUUGGCCCAAGGUAUUCAUUUUACUUAAAGCAGGCAGGCAGUCAGAUUAGGCACUUUGCUUAGGCAGAUAUGUGGUUAUGGUAUAGUGAGAUCUGAACGUUUGAAGGAGAAGGAUCAGUUGUGAAGGCAUUUCAAAAUGUUAUGUUCUUGUUCCAUUGCAACUAGAAUCAACCAUACAAUCAAGAUGUAGAUGGAGAGGCUUUGGGUUUGUGCUCCAGAUCUCUUGUAGAGACUUGAGUUCUGGAUGGUGUGGGAUAAUAUGACAUAGUUUGAAAUUCACUUAACUUGCACUAGUCAAAUGAAUGAAUUUUGGUAAAAGAUGGGAUCUCAUUAGGGACUUCUCUAAAUCUAAUGUUUGAAGUAUCUAAAUAUCUAAUCUCUAAGACAUCCGCUGGUCUCUCUUCUUGAUUACUUUUGCCUGAAAAUAGCCUCUGCAUUAUGUCUCAGAUAUCACAUUUCAAAUGCAACGAGAAGAGCAAAGUUAUUUUAAAAGUUGCUGAGGAUGGUCUGGUUCAGUGCUCUAGAGGUGAUUGCAUCAAAGGGUAACCAUUCUGGGGACCUGAAAGAAAUCGGUAGCAGGUGUUACAGCUAUUGAGCACUGCUUCAGAAACCUGUAAAGAAGGGAGUUGUGCGAAUUGACUGGGUGAUGCAUGGAAUAUUUCUAAGAAUUAGAUCCUAUAAAAUCUUUGGCUUUGGUUUCUUUAACACUCUGGAGAGUUCCUUGUCACUGCACACACUCAUUGAAUCAUGAAAAAGUUUCUCCAAUUUUCACAAAAGUUUGUUUUUAAAAUUUUUUUAGCAUGAUUUGGAUGGGUCAAGACAACACUUUUUUAGUAAAUGUAGAUAUUCUCUGUUCUGUGAUGCUUCAAACAUUAUUUCAGUGAAGUGUGUCUUCAUGUGCUUAAUGGUGUAGGAUUUUUUCAAAAGCAAAUGUUUUUUUUUUGAGGGCAAUAUACACUAGGCAAAAUAUUUACAUAAAAUGAUUUUUCCUUCUGGAUAACUUAAGCUAUUUUAAUCAGGAGAUAAUUAAAAAAAGUUUGCACAAUAUUUUUUUCUUUCACUUUUAAGGGCACAGUAGGGAGCCAUGGGAAAUGUAUUUUCAUCUGGGGUUGUAGGAGGAAUACAUAUUGUUUGUUUAAGGCAUCAGGUAUUGAGAAAUGGCAGGGUGAAAAGUUUGACCUGAACUGCCAGAUCUGAUCUGCAAGGGGGUAAUUGAGUUGCCAUGUUUUUUUUCUCCUCAGUUUAAAUCAAGUUUUGCUAUAGCCCAUUUAAGUGUCAGACUGGUAGCGAAACUUGACAACUUCAGGGUGCAAGCUUGCUUUUGAUCAGGAUUUACAUGCAAAUCAUUUUUGCCUUGAACUGUCAGCUCUGGUUUUGAUACUGGGAGGGGAGGUGCCCUCAUUUCUCGCAGUCUUUGCUUCUCAAGCCAUGGGGAUGGUGGUCAAUGCUGUUAGUUGGCGUGUGGAAAAAAGAUAUUGUGGUAAUAUGGUGGUUAAACUUUAUAUCUGUUUUUUUUUCCACCUCCUUUCCUGUCUGUCAGCUGUUGCAGCUGGGUAUCUAAUCUCCUUUUUGCUUAGGAGAAAAUCUAACAAUAAUCCUGAGUUUGAUGUCAGAGGGAAACUAGAGAACUGGGGUAGAGGGUCACCAGCGUACUGGGGAAUGGGCUUAAGCUGCAAAACAGCACAAAGGAUGCUGACAGUCCACAUUUUCCUGGGCUUUAAACAAAGUCUUUGGUAAGUUUAAAGAAUCUUCUCCUUGCAUGACUAAACCUAUUGAUGGUUUAGAGAAAAAGCUGCCUUAGAAGGCUUAGGACUGAACCUUUCCAAUUUUGUUGAAAACCGUAAGGUGUUAAAUUUUUUUUUUUUGCAUUGUAUAACUGUAGAAAAAUUAUAGAGAGGCCCAUAGCUUACUGUGAGUAAGCUAUGUGAAUGAGCAGUAUGUUGUCUUUUUGCUGCCAUAUCUAGUGAAAUUUGUAUGUAAUAUACCUUUUAGGUUUAUUUAAUUUUCAUUUAUGCUUUAAAUCUGGAGUUAAUCUUUCAAGAAAAUCCCACGCAGGCAAGUAAAGUAAUAAAACAAAAACUGUCAUUUAAUACUUAAGAGUUUCUAAAAAUAAAUAAAUAAAAUCCACUUCAGAAAUAGGCCAAUGAGAUUUAAAAUAAAAUAAAAUUCAUAGAUUUGCUAUUACUCUAAACAAAAUAUGCAAGAAGUUACAUCUCACAAGUGAUGUUGCGACUCUGUCUUCCAGUUAAGCAAGUUUUUCUUUGUACUAUUAGUAGAGUAGGGACAUCAAACAUACUGUUUCACAGAGGUGGCAGGCAGUGUCAUGUUUGAUAAUCUCCAUAUGAAAGCAUAACUUUUAAAGUCAAGAUUUUGAGACUGAAUCUGCUUUAUCUGUCCUGGGCCUUAUUUUAGCAGACAAAAACCUGAAUAUGCUAACAUGUGCUGUGAAAUUUUAAUUGAAUUGUUAAUGACACUGAGGAGUGACAUAACAUGUGAGAAACUUCCAAGAACCGAUCAUGGGAAGCCCUUUUUCUUACUGUUACAAAACAGAAGACACUGGGAACUUGACAAGUCCAAGUGUCUGAGGCCAGGGGAAUAAUUGAUAGCAGGCUGCCUGUAUCCAAGGUCCUUUAGCAGUAAUUGCAAGCAGAAUCCGACUCUCUGAUCUCACCAGUGGUAUUCACCAUGCCAAAAUGACCAGGCUUUGACAGAUUGCUUUCCUACAGUAAUAACUUAGGCAUGUUCUCUUUCUCACAUGAGGCCACACAUCCCUCCCACUGGAGAAAAUGAGUUGAAAAUGAGUUGCUUCUUUUUUUAACGGGGCACUGUUAAAAUAACUUUCUUCUGUUAUAUAAGCCCAGUAGUGCCAGGGGACUAAAUUUAUAUGGUUAUAAGUAAAAGAUAUUACUUUAGAAUACCACAAUGUAAUAUUUUGCAAUUUCUAUAGGAUUUCAAAUGUUUUGAAAAUAAUGUGUUUUUUUCUCUCCUCUUUUCUCUUGAAAGAGACCCAAAAUGACACAUUUUAUGUUUAAUUGCUUUCAUCUCUUUCUGAUUUUUAGAAACUGAGUGCUGACUUGUACCUAGAUUUAUUUCUUUGAUAGAUCCAAGAUCCCAAAGGGAGACUUGAGCUGUUAUUUAUUCUUCAUAGGAUGAAAUGAGAUCUAUUUUAUUUGAAUCUUUUAAAAUAACCAGUUGGUUUUGAUCUCUGUUAUAUUUUGAAACUUUUGUGCUCCUGUCUUCUUUUUUUAAUUUUUUUUUUUUUCACUCAAUGCAGUUUUGUCUGUAAACUGUGUUUGGAAGAUGUAAAGUCCUGGAUAAUGUAUAGUAGUUCUGGAUUUACACUCCCCUUAGUGACAGGGUUUUACUAAUUCUGAUAUAAGGACCCCUGUGUGCUACUCUAUGGUGGUCUGUGUUCUCUGGCAUAGUUAAGAUCCUGGCAGCUCCACCCUGUAGCUGUCUAAACAAGGUUUCUCACCAGGCACUAACAUCAAAAGAAAUACAGUGAACUAUGGUUAUGGGAAAUGGUAACCACAAUAUUAGAUAUAUAUAUAUAUAUAUAAAGAAUAUCUGCUACUAUAAUGUCGGUCAUUAAUGCAUGCAAACCUCUGAUAAGGUUAAGGUAUGUUAAAGUGUUAAGGUUGGAUGGUUUCAUAACUUUCAAAUACAAAUAAAAAGUGUUAAGGAUGCAGAGUAGCUAUGAAAAUAUAUUGUGUGCACAUGGUAAAAUACUUACGGUAACUAUUUGGCAUCUACUUAGUUUUCAUGCUGUAUUUUGGAAUAAUGAAUUCUAAAGUUAGACUCUCCUUCUUUGGCAAAGGUAGGAAAAUCAGAAGAUAGAGCCCUAUGGCUGCUGUUCAUGGCUCCAAAAUCUUUGAGAGAUUACAGGCUAAUUCAGGUGAUCUACCAUGGGACUGAUAAAGAAGUUCUUGCACAUAGUCACGGUGAAAUCAGGAAUCCACUUCUGUGGUCCUGUUUUUGAAUCUAAAGGUCUAAGUUUAAUUAACUAAUUUUAUUUAUUUAUUUAUUUUGUACAAAAGUGGUGAGCCAUAUGCACAUUUACAUUUCUUUAAUCCCUUUGUGUUCCUGGAGCUGAGGGAACCAUAAAACACCGGUAUUCCUGCAUUUUCUGUAACUGUGGAGCAUAACUUGAAAGUUCAUAAAGGAAAACUUAAAUCCGUGAACAGACAGUUGCAUACAGCUUUAGAUGCUAAAGAAAACUUUCUUUCGUGUUUGAGGUAUAUAGCUCUAAAGUAAGAUGAAUUGUUCACUAUAUACGUGAUGGGGCAUGUUGCUUAAGCAUAAGCUUCUCUAAACUUUAGGGAUCAUGUGAAUGCUUUUAGAGGAUUUUCCUAUUGCUCUGACUGUAGUAAAUUUCCUAUUGCUUUGAUUGUAGUAAAUAAAUCUGUAAUCGUAAUAGGGUAAUAAAAAUCAAAACCAACAGAACAAAAAUGAAGCUGGGGAAUUAAAAAUGACCAAUUUUGGGGGUCAAACCCAAUUCAUUAAAAUGAGAAAAGCAGAGCAGAGAGUACAGCUUGGCAGCGGUUUUACAAUAAUAAUUUAUCCGCACCUUGAGCCCAUCCUUUGGACAGACCUUUGUUUGAACUGCAGCUGACUUGGCUUAUGUAUGACCUGCUGGGAGCUGAGGUUGUAAUGAAAAACAGUUAUUCUUUCAAAUUACUCACAAGAAGCAGUGCCUAUUCUAUCAAGUGCUCGUCUUAAUUUGGCACAUGCGAAGAUUUUUAAUAUUUAUUUUUUCUCCAUUAAUCACACUAUAUCUUAUAAGAAGUUUAAAACAGAAAGAUGAAAUGCUGUAUGUUUUCCUUAAAGCAUUCUGCAGACAAAUGCUUCUCUAGAGAGUGGCUGUCAGGAGCUCGUACUGUUAAUUAAUGAAAAUAUUUGUUGAGUUUUUUGUGCGUGUAUUGCCAUAUUGCAAACUUCUCAAAAUUCUUCUUGGAUCAGCACUGUUUCAUAGAUUUGCAGACUAGCUAGAGAUUGGUUUACAGAACAAUAAAGAAUGAGGAAAGAACACAGAUUUAAUGAAAAUAGAAAUGCCAAUCUUGCCAUCUUUCCAUUCUCUAAAACAAAUUUAGUAAGAUAAUUUACUUAUGAAAUGGUGACGGAUUGAGAGUAAUCCUGCUUUCAUUUGUUUUGGAUAUAACCCUUCUUCCUGUUAACGUCAACUGUAUGCUCAGAAGUGUACAAGAUAAACAUAAUUGCCGUCCUUUUCUAUCUGAACAACUGAAAAUUAAAUACUUGUAAUACCAGUUUGAGGAAAACCUGAAGAUGAUGAUAGCUUAAAUGGCGUCUUUGUAUACCUGCUACCAAAUAGCAGAUGUUCAAGCAAAAUGAGAGGGCUAAAAUAAGAUGAAUUCACGUAUAUACAUUUUCUUCAUUUCUAUGGUCUGUGAUAUCCUGAGAUAUUUGAAGAAAAUGCUUCUGUUCCUUAAGCAGCAAUAACCUCUCUUUUGAAGUCAUAUGCCUGCUAAUCCUGCAAGAUUGUAGACAUAGUGAAUCAGACAUCAAUUCUAGUAGCAGAUUGCUUGUAAUCUGAAAACAUUUGUGGAGUUGUUAUAAGCGGAGAUGUGGAUUCAUACAGAGCUUACUGAAAGAGUCAGGAGUCAAGUUUUUGAGAAUUUUAGCAAGUAUUAAAGCAGUGUGUUUUUCAUGCAUUGCAUUAACCUUAUGAUGUUAGUUCUGAACUCUAAGUUAAAUUCUCUGGCAUUAUUUCUAUUUCCAUUGUGCUUGCAGUUGUUGUUUAUAAAUCUAAUUAAUGUAUUAUCUCCUGUUCUAAGAUAUUUAAAAACAAACACCAAAAUGACUAAUAAUUUAGCACUGACAAAUACUGAUGAUAUUUUCAGUAUUUAUCAAAGACAGCUUUUUACAAAGGUAAUUUGGCCAUUCUUUCCUUUUAGAUAUUUAAUACAAGGAAGGGCAGGUUGGAAGAUGAGUACUGGAAAUAUUCCCUUCAAAGAAUGAGGGGGUAGUAUGGAUUUUACAGAUAGAUGCUUUCUUUCAGAGAGCUGGAUGAGCCAUUACUUGGAAGACAAGGGAAUGGAUGUGUGACAAGUAACUCUUUUUUCCUACUGUUAUUACAGAGUAGCACUGACAAUGCCAUCUUCCACAUCUUUCUCUAAUAUAUAUAUUUUUGUCCUUAUACAAGUGUAGCACUGAUCUGUUUACUCUAUAUCUUUGCUCAUGUCUUUAAUCUACAAUUAAAUAAAUCUGUUUAUAAUAGUGUCUUGCCACUAAAGAAAGAAAUUGAAUCUGCUGCUGAAGAAGAUGUUGGAAUAGCAGCUAUCAUUUUUCCUUUCUGUUUUGUGUAAGCUGGAAAGUUUGGGUAAGUAGGACAUGAAGCUGAAAUGUAAUUUUAUUAGAUGUUGGCUAAUGUUACAUCAAGUCUUCAACGUUUUUACUAUAGAAGACAUAGUGCUGCUGCAAUCUCCUUCCUUCCCUGUGCCAACAGAUCGGCUUUGGCCCCACAGCACCGAUCUUGUGUCUGGCUUAGUCUUGGUUGCUCAAUUGGCUUUUCUAAAAACAAUGCACUGGAAAAAUGUGGCAUGUUUCUAUUAGAUAAGGAUUAAAAUAAUUGUUGUAAUUGUGUCUGUAGUCUCAUAUUCUAACCUAAAUGUGCACUCUAAGCAUGUAUGGGAGCACACUCUGUGACUUCAGGUCAGCAGUGGUGGAGAAUAACCCUUCCAGUGACAAGUGGGAGUGGAGUAGCUGGGACAGCUGCUACUGAGAGCUCCCACUAUGGCUGUGGAGCAGAUUUGGCCAAGCAGAGGGACUGUGUUUAGUACUGAAUUGAGUUCUAUUUUAUUUUCACUGUAUUAAAAACAUUACCUUUAUGGAUGUAAUAUGUUCUUUGAUACAUGGAAUGUUGGCAGCGCUUGCAGGCAUCAUAUAUUUUUUGGCUUCAUUUGUUGGUGUUUUUUUUCCCCUCUAAAUUCUGUAAUAUUUCUUCGGGGUGGCUUAACUUCCUCCCUGUUUUAUUUGUGUGUUAAAAUUUCACAGUUGUGUUCAUUUUUAAGCAAGUUAUUUAUAUGUCAUUGCACUUUUAUAGGGUUGGACUAAUUACACAUUUUGUGCUGUUUUAUCAUGUAUUUCAUAAGCUAUCAUUACACACACAAUGUGUAUCUCUAUUAGGUAUACACAUCCACGUUGUAUUGCAGGUUCUACCAAGCACCAAGAAGAAAUCAUAAUAAAAAAGAAUUUACUGUGGGCAUAUGAGACAGAGAAAAUUAGGCAAAGCUGGUUGUAAACUAAUAACCAGUUCUAAAAAGUGCUAGUCACAGCUUUAUGGACUGUACUUCUCAUGCUGGAAACGAUUGAGCUGUUCUUCCUCCAUCUUUGGGAGAAAGGAUGUUUUCAUCUGAGGAUAGUAGCAACGUAACUGAAAGGCAACUUCCAAAAUAGAGUUAAUUGUUCUUUAGUUUGGCUUCUGUAAGUUACGAAUUUGGUACUAAAUCUCAGUAUUUCCAUUCCUUUCAGUGAUAUACGCAGACCAUCACAGUUUGUUUUUAAUGUCUCUGUUUGUUAGGAGGUGUUUUUAAAAACAGUGUGUUGAUCUAAAUUAUCUGUAUGGUGAUACGUUAAUCAACAAAUUAUUUAUUAGUAUUUUAGUGAGGAACACUAGAAACAUUAGUUGCCUUAUGUCUACAUAAUUAUUUGUUUCCCAAGAUGUUUUUGAAUGGUAUUGACUUAACGCACUUUAAAGUAUAAUUAUCAGUUUCCUUUUUCUUGUGCUAGGGAUGCCUCUGCAAUUUUUGGCAUAGAUAAUUUUUCAGUGUUGUUCUUUCAUAAUGUCCAUCACACAGCACCUAAUAAAAAAAGACAUGCUUUGAGCUGGGAUUUCUAGGACUACUUGUCUCCCGAAUCACAAUUGUAAUUGAAGUAACUGGCACUACUUCAACUUCACUGAACACUCCAUUUUUCAGUUUCAGCUAGCUCAGUAGAAUUACCAAGGCGCUCUGAAGACCAGUUUCAUUGUUUGCAUUGGGUUUUGUUGUUUUAGGGCUUUCUCACUAUAGGAAUACUGCAUUUGGUUUUUCUUGUAUUGUGUUCUGUCUCAGUAGAAUUUCUGGGAAGGUAGUGCUUAGAGAAUAAGCAGUAUGAUUUAAAUACAAAGUUGCUUUUUGUUUUGUUUUGUUUUUGUCUGUCUGAGAAGUGAGAGCAGAGCAGUUAUAGUCUUUCAUUUGGAGAGAAUGUGAUUGUUAGAGUAUAUUUUGCAUUAAUUCAUGGAGGGACACUUGCCUAAAUUGCUUUCUGUAUCUUGUGAAUGUCUUUGAUCCUGGUGACAGUUUGACUGCAUUAGUGAGAGUGUAUUGGUUAAUCCUUUGCUUAACUUGUUCUUUUUGGCGCAGCCAGGGGCCUUUCCAAAGAUAAUCUGUCAGUAUAGGCUAAAUCCUAAUCAAACAGGCCAAAAGAGGAUCUGGGUGAUGUGUAGGCUGGAGAAUGCCUUAUGGGACUAGAUGUGUUUUGAUAAGUUUUUUUUUUUUUUUUUAAACUAUGUACUUGUAAAAUUUAAUCAUGUAUAUAUUCUCUAUGUAGUCAUAAGGGCUUUUGUAUCCUCUUUCAACAUGUUGGCGAAAGGGUACUUUCCAGAUACUAAAAUGUUAGCAAAGCAGAUGAAUAAGAGGAGUUGGUUUUGUUAAGGAUCUGGAUGUUUUCAGUCUCUGCAGUCUUUUUGUUGAACAACACACAAGUGCUAUUUUCAUAUGGUCAAAAAUUGAAGACAAAAAUGUUUCAAAUGAAAAAUGUGAUCUCUGAAAAAUCUUGUCACAUACAGAUGCUGAGUUUCUAAGCCAAAAAACCUUAUUUCUUGCCAAAAGUGACCGAAACCUUCCAAUCUAGAGAUGUUUAGGUUACUUUCCUUGCAGUCAAGAGCAGCUUUAAAUUGCCACUGGUAAAGCUGAGUUUCUGCACUUUACAAAAAUGUUGACUUGACUUGAAAUAACAAUUGGUAUCCUUGACUGCCCAGCAUAACAUCAACAGGUGUAUGUAUAUCUACCUUUGCAAAAUAAAUUGGAAUAAUAAAAGAACAAGAGAGGUCUUUUCUUUCUCUAAAAUAGAAGUAUAUCUUGAUAUUAUUCACGAUUAGCAGAGAUAGAACGAUUCUUUCAGAAUUUAAGUGUUUCAAUUUCUUUGCAGAAUGGUGCUUAAAAAGUGCUUAUUAAUGUACAAGUAGAUGGAAACCUGAGAUACAUUUUCCCCCCUGUCAAUUCAGCAAUCAACUGUAAUAAGAGCUGAUGUAAAAUUUUCAUACACUUUAAGGCAUUCUCUAAUGUCUUUAUGCUACUUGAAACGCUUUCCAUUUUCAUUUCACUUAACAAGCAUAUUGGGAUAUUCUUUAUGCAGAUAAAACAAGCUUAAAUAAAGUUGUUAAAAGUGCCUGCAAGUAAAUUGCUUGUAUAUUCCUUUUACCCUACUUCUCCCUCCCCCUACACUUAACAUGAUUAAACUGAAUAUUAUAAUAUAGCUCAUACUAAAUGGUUCUAUGAUUCAUAUCAACCUUAUUACUGUCAGCUCAGCCAAAACAAUUUCACUUUCACAAUCUUCUGCUGUUCAACUGUGUAGCGGUAUUAUGGCAAACAUGGGAUGCCUGGAUUGAGAUGCAAAUGAUUCCUGUUUCUAAAUAGCAUAUUUUCCUCUGUUUCCACUCAUUUAUCUCAUUCUUUUCACUUGCUUCCAUGUUUUCCACAUAAAUUUGGUGGGUGCUUUAGGACUGUGUCAAGCAGUCUUCCAUGGAAGUUCACCAGCAAAAUUGUAAGCUGGUAAGCUUCUAUUUUAUAUGAUUAUCCUGUAGGUCUAAAGUUUGGAAACAAGCAAAAGCCAAACUCAAAACUAAAUAGGUUUUGGAUUUUUUAACAGCGGUUAUGCUGAUUAUCUUUGUUAAACUAUUAGAAGGAGAGGGGAAAGUGAUGGAGGUCGCAUCGCUACCUGAGAUUCUGAUGCUGAGGGGUUUGUAGAUUAGAGGGCUAAUUGGCAUUUUGUGAUCCACGGGGGAUUUGAUUCUGCCUCUGUGUGGCCAUGCUCUUUGUAUGUAUUUUGGGUUGGGAACAGCAAAAGCUAUUUAGGAUACUCAUUUGAGAGCCUUUCCCAUGAAUCAUAUUUCAGGAAAUGCUUACAAUUCCGUUGGUUUUU